UCUACCUACCUAUUUUUCUUCGUUUUUCUUUGAAAUACCUUGGACCAGUGUAACCCAAAACCGACUGGACUACAAAAACUGACUUUAAACCUGUGGCAGCACAGUGAUUGCCACACUCAGCCUCCCGCUGCCCAGGCUCACCAGAUGGGGUGUGGCUGUCUGGACCUUCAGGCCCUUCCCUGUAUCGAUCAGGUCCAGAGGUGGAGACUACAAGCAUCAGUCAGAAUGGGAAGGAAGCCAGCGGGGAUACAGUGGAGGGAGAGAGAGGACCAAUCCAAACAACAUAGGAAUGCUCUCCAUCAGUCAAAGCUGCUGCUCUCUGCUCUCCCACUUGCCUGCCAUGGAAGAAGUUGAUUUCUAUCAGGCCAUCCCUCACCUUUGGAGGAGAACAGAGCGAAGAGCUGGGGGUCAUUUGUUGCACUAA